rnacentral:rRNA from 1 species
AUUGAACGCUGGCGGCACGCCUAACACAUGCAAGUCGAGCGGUAGCAUGAUUAGUAGCAAUACUAAUUGAUGACGGGCGGCGGACGGGUGAGUAAUACGUAGGAACCUGCCCUCAAGCGGGGGAUAACUAAGGGAAACUUUAGCUAAUACCGCAUAAUCUCGAGAGAGUAGAGCUGCAGCAAUGCGGCACUUGAGGAGGGGCCUGCGUCAGAUUAGCUAGUUGGUGAGGUAAUAGCUCACCAAGGCGAUGAUCUGUAACUGGUCUGAGAGGACGACCAGUCACACUGGGACUGAGACACGGCCCAGACUCCUACGGGAGGCAGCAGUGGGGAAUAUUGGACAAUGGGGGCAACCCUGAUCCAGCGAUGCCGCGUGGGUGAAGAAGGCCUUCGGGUUGUAAAGCCCUUUAGGUUGGGAAGAAGGUUAGUGGAGGAAAUGCCAUUAAUUUGACGGUACCAACAGAAUAAGCACCGGCAAACUCUGUGCCAGCCGCCGCAGUAA